UACCAGCACCCCGAGUGGUCGGGACGAUUAUUGGGCCUAAAGCAUCCGUAGCCGGUCCUACAAGUCUUCCGUUAAAUCCACCUGCCCAACAGAUGGGCUGCGGAAGAUACUAUAGGGCUAGGAGGCGGGAGAGGCAAGCGGUACUCAGUGGGUAGGGGUAAAAUCCUCUGAUCCAUUGAAGACCACCAGUGGCGAAGGCGGCUUGCCAGAACGCGCUCGACGGUGAGGGAUGAAAGCUGGGGGAGCAAACCGG
rnacentral:rRNA from 1 species